UACGAAGGGGGCUAGCGUUGUUCGGAAUUACUGGGCGUAAAGAGCUCGUAGGCGGUUCGUCACGUCGGCUGUGAAAACCUGAGGCUCAACCUCAGGCCUGCAGUCGAUACGGGCGGACUCGAGUUCGGCAGGGGAGACUGGAAUUCCUGGUGUAGCGGUGAAAUGCGCAGAUAUCAGGAGGAACACCGGUGGCGAAGGCGGGUCUCUGGGCAUGUCCUGACGCUGAGGAGCGAAAGUGUGGGGAGCGAACAGG
rnacentral:rRNA from 1 species